UUAUUUUACUGUGUAUAGUGGCUGCCAGAACUGCCUGGUGCAACUCUUACCCCUUGCCUGCUGUGAUUUUGUCUGCGUUUGUUGUGACUUCAAACACAGAUCUCAAAGCACAGACCUCAAUGGAGAGCCAAAGUAUGCCCCAAGUUCUCCUCAGGCACAGGCAGCGGGGACAUUUUGUAAAAAUGAAAAAAACAAGAGUCAAAUUCUAAUUUUUGCCAGUGAACUUGAGCAUUGUGUGACUUCCAGCUUACUCCGUUGUCUCUCAAGGCCUUAAAGCAGGGCAGGACACGAGCCGGUGAGGUCCUGUGCCCUUCCCUCAGCUCACUCUCACAGAAAAGUAUGGCCUAAUGUGGGUGAAUAAAAUCAGGCAGUUCAGUGGAUCACCUGCUUUCACAGGCAACGGGGAUCAGAUAUUAACUGCAGCCCUCUGAUUGAGCAGCAAUGGACCAUUCUCUGUGUCUGUGCUCACCAGUAUUCCUGUGGUGACCACGUUCACCUGCUGGUAUAAAGGUUCCUGCUCACUCGUGAUGGUUUCUGACAUUUGGCUUCUCAGCACUGAGGAGCAAGGCUGAGAUUUGCAGGGAAGAGCCAAGAUACACUUCUAGGUGGCAUGGUUGUGAUUCCACUAACAGAAAUGAAGCUUCUCUGUAAAUGGCACGUACCAGCUUUCCACCCUGCCUGUGCCUUAACCACAAAUGUCUGCCUCCUGACAGCUUCUCCCCUGCUAGCCUGGGCUUUCUGCAGUGGCUGCUCGCGCUCCCCCAGUCUGUCCGCGUGGCCACAUCGGGACACAACUGGGAAGAAGGAAAACUCCUGGUGGAGAAUAUCCUCACGGAGCAGCCUUCCAUGUCAUCGGGAUGGGCAUCCCCAUGCAGGAGCUGGCUCUGGACCCUUUUUCUCAAGAACUGUGAAACACUUCCCCCGUUAAACCGCCUGUCACAUUACUGAAGGGGGCACUGAUGUAUCUGAUUAGUGAGGAAGCUCUGAAGGAAUCCAUCUGUCUUAGCAUUCGGAUGGGUAUUUAUCUCUUUCAUGGGUUUCUUUUGUCCAAAGGAAUCAUUUGCUCUGAUGUGAAGUAAUGCAAUAUCUGCUCUCUUUGGGGAUUUCAGCAGGAAGCUAUACUCCCUGAGCCUCAUUUUAAUCUCCUAGUGUCGUAAAUCAGGAAUAACCUCAAGAAAGUCAGCAAAAUUAUGCUCGUGAAAACUGAUGUACAAGACACGGGGCCUCUGAUCUCCAGCAGCAGUAGAGAUGAGCUCAGCCCCUGAAUCUCUUCUCCCUCUGUAUGUAGAUCCUGCUGGUCUCUGGAGAUGCUCAGACGUGGCUCUUGUGUGCUAAAUACAGCAUCCAGGCUUUGGAGGGUGGCGCCUUUCAUGCUUUUGCUGACCAGGUAGAAGGAGAAGAUAUGAGGGCUUAUAGAGAUAAAUUCUCUCUGUGAGAGGCUCAGGACAAACCAAUAGAAACAAGAAACUCCAGUUGUGCAGAAAAGUUUUUGAAUGUACACUCAUCCUGACAAAGAUGCUGCAGCACACCUCCUAUCUGCAUCAAUUACAGUGAUGGGCAUGGAGCAGAUUCAGAAAGAAAAUCAAAUCAUGAGUAUUUCAGUGGUUCUGCUUUUAAACCUUGUGUGGCGAUGGGAGCCCCAGGAAGCAAUGUUUUGGCUUUUCUUCUGCCUAAACACCAGAUAUGAUCAGGAAAAAUGAUUUUGUAUUUUCUUCUCAUUCAAAAUGGUUAAAAUCUGA
rnacentral:lncRNA from 1 species